AGUGCCUUAGUGGCUGUCUCCUCCUGGCUCUGUACAGCAUUGAGCAGGCACCUUUAGCCACUCCACUUCUGCCACCUGGUUGUUUGCGUCACUCUCUGUGCAGCACCUCAUCAUGCAGCUAGCUGCCAGCCUCCUUCCUUGCACCACCUGGCUACGUGUCUCGCUUUCUGCAGUUCAGCAUACGGGAAAACCGUAAUAUUGUGUCGUGGGGAAACGUAAUCCGCAGGUUGUUACAGCGGCAUCAUCAGCUGUGGCACUCCU